AACGAACGCUGGCGGCAUGCCUAACACAUGCAAGUCGAACGAGACCUUCGGGUCUAGUGGCGCACGGGUUCGUAACGCGUGGGAACCUGCCCUUAGGUUCGGCAUAACUCCCCGAAAGGGGUGCUAAUACCGGAUAAUGUCUUCGGACCAAAGAUUUAUCGCCUUUGGAUGGGCCCGCGUUGGAUUAGCUAGUUGGUAGGGUAAAAGCCUACCAAGGCGACGAUCCAUAGCUGGUCUGAGAGGAUGAUCAGCCACACUGGGACUGAGACACGGCCCAGACUCCUACGGGAGGCAGGAGUGGGGGAUAGUGGACAAUGGGCGGAAGCAUGAUCCAGCAAGGCCGCGUGAGUGAUGAAGGCCUUAGGGUUGUAAAGCUCUUUUAACCGGGAUGAUAAUGACAGUACCGGGAGAAUAAGCUCCGGCUAACUCCGUG
rnacentral:rRNA from 1 species